CAGCCGCCGCGGUAAUACGAAGGGGGCUAGCGUUGUUCGGAUUUACUGGGCGUAAAGCGCACGUAGGCGGAUUCUUAAGUCAGAGGUGAAAUCCCAAGGCUCAACCUUGGAACUGCCUUUGAUACUGGGGAUCUUGAGUCCGGGAGAGGUGAGUGGAACUGCGAGUGUAGAGGUGAAAUUCGUAGAUAUUCGCAAGAACACCAGUGGCGAAGGCGGCUCACUGGCCCGGUACUGACGCUGAGGUGCGAAAGCGUGGGGAGCAAACAGGAUUAGAUACCCGCGUAGUCCCUGUCUCUUAUAC
rnacentral:rRNA from 1 species